AUUUUUUUUGGGGGGGAGGUGUAUAUUUCUAUUUUAAGUCACAUCUCUGUGGUCAAAAGGCCGGUCUGUAGCUCCAAUGUGGGCACCAUCUCAGUUG